rnacentral:sRNA from 1 species
GCGGAGACGAAAGUUUCCGUUCACUCCUCACACCACACUCCGCUCAAAUCUUCGGAUUUGGGCGGUU